rnacentral:misc_RNA from 1 species
UCCUCCGCUUAUUGAUAUGCUUAAGUUCAGCGGGUAUUCCUACCUGAUCCGAGGUCAACUCUAAGAAAGUUGGGCGUUUUACGGCGUGACCGCCUCCGCGCUCCGGUGCGAGGUGUGUGCUACUACGCAGGGGAGGCUGCGGCGGGGUCGCCACUGCAUUUCGGGGGCGGCUGGUGUGCCGUCCCCCAACACCGAGGCCCCCGGGGGGGCUCGAGGGUUGAAAUGACGCUCGAACAGGCAUGCCCGCCAGAAUGCUGGCGGGCGCAAUGUGCGUUCAAAGAUUCGAUGAUUCACUGAAUUCUGCAAUUCACAUUACUUAUCGCAUUUCGCUGCGUUCUUCAUCGAUGCCAGAACCAAGGGAUCCGUUGUUGAAAGUUUUGAUUCAUUUGUUUUUGCUUGUGCAACUCAGAGAAGAAAUUCCGCCCGCUGGGCGUAAUGCAAGAGAGUUUGGGGUCCCUGCGGCGGGCGCCUGGGUCCGGCGCCGGCGCGGGGGCCGGCGGCCGGGGCGUUCCCGCCGAGGCAACUGAGGUAAGGUUCACAGUGGGUUUGGGAGUUGUAUAACUCGGUAAUGAUCCCUCCGCUGGUUCACCAACGGAGACCUUGUUACGACUUUUACUUCC